UACGAAGGGGGCUAGCGUUGUUCGGAAUUACUGGGCGUAAAGCGCGCGCAGGCGGUCUUCCAAGUCAGUGGUGAAAGCCCGGAGCUCAACUCCGGAACUGCCAUUGAAACUGUUAGACUUGAGGACGAGAAAGGUGAGUGGAAUUCCCAGUGUAGAGGUGAAAUUCGUAGAUAUUGGGAAGAACACCGGUGGCGAAGGCGGCUCACUGGCUCGUAUCUGACGCUCAGGCGCGACAGCGUGGGGAUCAAACAGG
rnacentral:rRNA from 1 species